rnacentral:rRNA from 1 species
CCUACGGUGGACUGCAGUGAGGAAUAUUGGGCAAUGGGGGCAACCCUGACCCAGCAACGCCGCGUGAAGGAAGAAGGCUUUCGGGUUGUAAACUUCUUUUAAGAGGGAAGAGCAGAAGACGGUACCUCUUGAAUAAGCCACGGCUAACUACGUGCCAGCAGCCGCGGUAAUACGUAGGUGGCAAGCGUUGUCCGGAUUUACUGGGUGUAAAGGGCGUGUAGCCGGGCUGACAAGUCAGAUGUGAAAUCCCGUGGCUCAACCACGGAACUGCAUUUGAAACUGUCGGUCUUGAGUAUCGGAGAGGCAGGCGGAAUUCCUAGUGUAGCGGUGAAAUGCGUAGAUAUUAGGAGGAACACCAGUGGCGAAGGCGGCCUGCUGGACGACAACUGACGGUGAGGCGCGAAAGCGUGGGGAGCAAACAGGAUUAGAUACCCCUGUAGUC